AUUGAACGCUGCGGCAGGCUUAACACAUGCAAGUCGAGCGAGCGGCGGACGGGUGAGUAAUGCUUAGGAAUCUGCCUAUUAGUGUGGGACAAAAUCCCGAAAGGGAUGCUAAUACCGCAUACUAACAGAUGAGCCUAAGUCGGAUUGGCUAGUUGGUGGGGUUAAGGUCUACCAAGGCGACGAUCUGUAGCGGGUCUGAGAGGAUGAUCCGGCACACUGGAAAUGUGACAAGGCCCAGAAUCCUACGGGAGGCAGCAAUGGGGAAUAUUGGACAAUGGGGAGAACCCUGAUCCAGCCAUGCCGCGUGUGUGAAGAAGACCUUAUGGUUGUAAAGCACUUUAAGCGAGGAGGCGUUUCUCGCAGAGUAAGCACCGGCUAACUCCGUGCCAGCAGCCGCGGUAAUUC
rnacentral:rRNA from 1 species